AGAUUGAACGCUGGCGGCAUGCUUUACACAUGCAAGUCGAACGGUAACAGGCCGCAAGGUGCUGACGAGUGGCGAACGGGUGAGUAAUGUAUCGGAACGUGCCCAGUCGUGGGGGAUAACGCAGCGAAAGCUGCGCUAAUACCGCAUACGAUCUAUGGAUGAAAGCGGGGGACCGUAAGGCCUCGCGCGAUUGGAGCGGCCGAUAUCAGAUUAGGUAGUUGGUGGGGUAAAGGCUCACCAAGCCAACGAUCUGUAGCUGGUCUGAGAGGACGACCAGCCACACUGGGACUGAGACACGGCCCAGACUCCUACGGGAGCAGCAGUGGGGAAUUUGGACAAUGGGCGCAAGCCUGAUCCAGCAAUGCCGCGUGCAGGAAGAAGGCCUUACGGGUUGU
rnacentral:rRNA from 1 species